UACGGGAGGCAGCAGGGGGAAUAUUGCACAAUGGGCGAAAGCCUGAUGCAGCUAUGCCGCGUGUAUGAAGAAGGCCUUAGGGUUGUAAAGUACUUUCAUCGGGGAGGAAAAACAAAACUAAUAAUUUUAUUUCUUGACGUUACCCGAAAAAGAAGCACCGGCUAACUCCGUGCCAGCAGCCGCGGUAAUACGGAGGGUGCUAGCGUUAAUCAGAAUUACUGGGCGUAAAGAGCACGUAGGUGGUUUUUUUAAGUCAGAUGUGAAAUCCCUGGGCUUAACCUAGGAACUGCAUUUUGAAACUGAAAUACUAGAGUAUCGUAGAGGGAGGUAGAAUUCUAGGUGUAGCGGUGAAAUGCGUAGAUAUCUGGAGGAAUACCUGUGGCGAAAGCGGCCUCCUAAACGAAUACUGACACUGAGGGUGCGAAAGCGUGGGGAGCAAACAGGGAUUAGAUACC
rnacentral:rRNA from 1 species